rnacentral:tRNA from 1 species
GGUUCCCUAGUGUAGCGGUGAGCACGUGUGCUUUACACGCAGAAGGUCCUGGGUUCGCGCCCCAGGUGGAGCCA